GAUGAACGCUGGCGGCGUGCCUAAUACAUGCAAGUCGAGCGAACGGACGAGAAGCUUGCUUCUCUGAUGUUAGCGGCGGACGGGUGAGUAACACGUGGAUAACCUACCUAUAAGACUGGGAUAACUUCGGGAAACCGGAGCUAAUACCGGAUAAUAUUUUGAACCGCAUGGUUCAAAAGUGAAAGACGGUCUUGCUGUCACUUAUAGAUGGAUCCGCGCUGCAUUAGCUAGUUGGUAAGGUAACGGCUUACCAAGGCAACGAUGCAUAGCCGACCUGAGAGGGUGAUCGGCCACACUGGAACUGAGACACGGUCCAGACUCCUACGGGAGGCAGCAGUAGGGAAUCUUCCGCGAUGGGCGAAAGCCUGACGGAGCAACGCCGCGUGAGUGAUGAAGGUCUUCGGAUCGUAAAACUCUGUUAUUAGGGAAGAACAUAUGUGUAAGUAACUGUGCACAUCUUGACGGUACCUAAUCAGAAAGCCACGGCUAACUACGUGCCAGCAGCCGCGGUAAUACGUAGGUGGCAAGCGUUAUCCGGAAUUAUUGGGCGUAAAGCGCGCGUAGGCGGUUUUUUAAGUCUGAUGUGAAAGCCCACGGCUCAACCGUGGAGGGUCAUUGGAAACUGGAAAACUUGAGUGCAGAAGAGGAAAGUGGAAUUCCAUGUGUAGCGGUGAAAUGCGCAGAGAUAUGGAGGAACACCAGUGGCGAAGGCGACUUUCUGGUCUGUAACUGACGCUGAUGUGCGAAAGCGUGGGGAUCAAACAGGAUUAGAUACCCUGGUAGUCCACGCCGUAAACGAUGAGUGCUAAGUGUUAGGGGGUUUCCGCCCCUUAGUGCUGCAGCUAACGCAUUAAGCACUCCGCCUGGGGAGUACGACCGCAAGGUUGAAACUCAAAGGAAUUGACGGGGACCCGCACAAGCGGUGGAGCAUGUGGUUUAAUUCGAAGCAACGCGAAGAACCUUACCAAAUCUUGACAUCCUUUGACAACUCUAGAGAUAGAGCUUUCCCCUUCGGGGGACAAAGUGACAGGUGGUGCAUGGUUGUCGUCAGCUCGUGUCGUGAGAUGUUGGGUUAAGUCCCGCAACGAGCGCAACCCUUAAGCUUAGUUGCCAUCAUUAAGUUGGGCACUCUAAGUUGACUGCCGGUGACAAACCGGAGGAAGGUGGGGAUGACGUCAAAUCAUCAUGCCCCUUAUGAUUUGGGCUACACACGUGCUACAAUGGACAAUACAAAGGGCAGCGAAACCGCGAGGUCAAGCAAAUCCCAUAAAGUUGUUCUCAGUUCGGAUUGUAGUCUGCAACUCGACUACAUGAAGCUGGAAUCGCUAGUAAUCGUAGAUCAGCAUGCUACGGUGAAUACGUUCCCGGGUCU
rnacentral:rRNA from 1 species